rnacentral:rRNA from 1 species
ACCCAGACUCCUACGGGAGGCAGCAGUGGGGGAUAUUGCACAAUGGGGGAAACCCUGAUGCAGCGACGCCGCGUGAGUGAAGAAGUAUUUCGGUAUGUAAAGCUCUAUCAGCAGGGAAGAAAAUGACGGUACCUGAUUAAGAAGCCCCGGCUAACUACGUGCCAGCAGCCGCGGUAAUACGUAGGGGGCAAGCGUUAUCCGGAUUUACUGGGUGUAAAGGGAGCGUAGACGGCGAUACAAGUCUGAAGUGAAAGCCCGGGGCUCAACCCCGGGACUGCUUUGGAAACUGUGUUGCUGGAGUGCUGGAGAGGCAAGCGGAAUUCCUAGUGUAGCGGUGAAAUGCGUAGAUAUCAGGAGGAACACCGGUGGCGAAGGCGGCCUGCUGGACUGCAACUGACGUUGAGGCCCGAAAGCGUGGGGAGCAAACAGGAUUAGAUACCCCUGUA